UUCACACGAAUCAAAAGUUUUACUAAUGAAUUUAUAAUAACGAUGAAUUCUUGUAAAAAAUCAAUAACAUUUAGGUUCGAAAAUAAGCGAUCCCUUGAAGGAGCAAAAUUCAAAGUAAUAUUUGUCUAACACGAAGUAAUUAAUUCCAAAGUUAUGGAUUCCUUUUCGGGCUCGGCUUUUAUAGGUCUGGUUUUCUCAGCACAGUCAGCUGUGCGCGAAAUUGGUUCUCAUCUCCCCAACAACCCCAGCCACACCCGACGACACCCUUUUUGGUGACGUCACGGCAGGCUUGCUGACGUCAUCGCGUCAUAGACAAGGCGGCCACGAACUUACGAACGAGUGCCCUUAAUCGAUUUCGAGGUUUUGCUUCUGGCGAGCUUCUUAUGUAUUUGCAGAAGGGUAUGUACGUAGUUCUUGGAUUACGGAUUGUUUGGUAGAAUCCUUGUUAGAUUUAGUUUUAAAAUACCUCGUUUCCCUUUGAUAUAUACUUAACAGAGCUGUUAAAUAUAACUAUAGGUAUUAUUACAUUAUUAUUAUUUUUCAGAACAUUAUAAUAGAGAAAAAUUUUCAAGUGUUGUUUGUUUUAAAUGCGCAAAUGACUUAAAUAAGUAGAAACUCCUGCCGGAAAUCGAAAACGUAAGAUCAUAGUCCCAUAAAAAGAGAACUAUAUUAAUCUGCUAGCCUCUACAUACGGAGAUUCGGGAAGUUCCAAUUUUAUGUACCCACAACUAAUGCCAAGGAAGUUGGCAGACGUCUGCACCACGUCACACGAGACCAUUGACUUUGUGCGUCAGCUGAUUUUUAUCGUCUUACUUUGCAUGAAGUAAAAAGUCAAUUACUUAUGGUAUUUUCCGAUCUAGAAUUUACAAUCGUCCAUCAGUAGUCAGCACUAUCAUCUACGAGCUUUCGGUGUCAAUUCCUUAACAUCUAGUGUGUUUCCAGAGAGUUUUGCCACGUAACAUCCGACUUUGGAAUGAGCUCAACUCGACGGUGUUUCCCGAGCGUUAUGACCUGUCUUUCUUCAAACAAAGCUGGUGGAGAGUACUUAAGGGCCUACCCACAGCGGCCUGCCUACAGCGGCUUGACUCUGCCCUUGAUAUUGCUGAAGUCCAUGGGCGACGGUAACCACUCACAAUCAGAUGGGCCAUAUGCGUUUCGCCAAGAGGGGCAAUAAAAAAAAUUGUAAAGAUUUUUUGUUAUUUUACUCAAAUAAACUCUAGACUCAGACAAA